CCCUUAGAUGUUCUGGGCCGCACGCGCGCUACACUGAUGCAUUCAACGAGUUCCUACCUUGGCCGAGAGGCCUGGGCAAUCUUUUGAACUUGCAUCGUGAUAGGGAUAGAUUAUUGCAAUUAUUAAUCUUGAACGAGGAAUUCCUAGUAAACGCAGAUCAUCAAUCUGCAUUGAUUACGUCCCUGCCCGUUGUACACACCGCCCGUCGCACCUACCGAUUGAAUGGUCCGGUGAAGCCUCGGGAUUGUGGUUAGUUUCCUUCAUUGGAAGUUAGCCGCGAGAACUUGUCUAAACCUUAUCAUUUAGAGGAAGGUGAAGUCGUAACA
rnacentral:rRNA from 1 species